AAGAUACUAGUAUAGAUGUUAAUACAUUGCUUUGUCAAGGCAAAGUCGUGGGUUAAAACCCCACGUAUCUUA
rnacentral:tRNA from 2 species